rnacentral:rRNA from 1 species
UACGAAGGGGACUAGCGUUGUUCGGAAUCACUGGGCGUAAAGCGCACGUAGGCGGAUUCGUAAGUCAGGGGUGAAAUCCCGGGGCUCAACCUCGGAACUGCCUUUGAUACUGCGGGUCUUGAGUCCGGAAGAGGUGAGUGGAACUCCUAGUGUAGAGGUGGAAUUCGUAGAUAUUAGGAAGAACACCAGUGGCGAAGGCGGCUCACUGGUCCGGUACUGACGCUGAGGUGCGAAAGCGUGGGGAGCAAACAGG